UAUUUUUGCACCCGAAUUAUGAUACACAUAAUUCAUACAUAAAAAUCAUUUACAAAAAUAUUAGCAUG
ncrna:unclassified sequences S15-Flavobacteria ribosomal protein leader